rnacentral:tRNA from 1 species
CUGCCUGUGGCUUAGUGGGUAACGUUACAGUCUUGGGAACAUGUGGUCAUAGGUUCAAGCCCAGCCAGGGACA